GUGCCGUGUGGCGGGCGCUGUGCGGUGGGCACCCGGAGACGCCAGGCGGCUGAGUUCUGGGGCGUGGGCUGCCCCCCAGGCGCGCGGCCAUGAACCUGGAGCGGCUUCGGAAGCGUGUGCGGCAGUACCUGGACCAACAACAGUAUCAAAGUGCUUUGUUUUGGGCAGACAAAGUAGCUUCGCUCUCUCAUGAGGAGCCCCAGGAUGUUUAUUGGUUGGCUCAGUGUCUUUAUCUGACAGCACAGUAUCACAGAGCAGCCCAUGCACUUCGGUCCCGAAAAUUGGACAAAUUGUAUGAAGCGUGUCGGUACCUUGCAGCCAGAUGUCAUUAUGCUGCAAAAGAGUAUCAGCAGGCUCUUGAUAUUCUUGAUAUGGAGGAACCAAUCAACAAAAGACUAUUUGAAAAAUACCUGAAGGAUGAAAGCAGCUUGAAAGACUCCUCCAGUGACUGGGAAAUGUCACAGUCCUCAAUAAAGAGUUCUAUUUGUCUUCUACGAGGGAAAAUCUAUGAUGCUCUAGAUAACCGAACCCUAGCUACCUACAGUUAUAAAGAGGCUUUAAAGCUUGAUGUCUACUGUUUUGAAGCAUUUGAUCUUUUAACAUCACAUCACAUGUUGACAGCACAAGAAGAAAAAGAACUUCUUGAGUCACUACCUCUUAGCAAGCUCUGUACUGAAGAACAGGAAUUACUACGUUUUCUGUUUGAGAACAAAUUAAAAAAGUAUAAUAAGCCUAGUGAAACUGUCAUCCCUGAGUCUGUAGAUGGCUUGCAAGAGAAUCUGGAUGUGGUAGUAUCGUUAGCUGAAAGACAUUAUUAUAACUGUGAUUUUAAGAUGUGCUACAAGCUUACAUCUGCAGUAAUGGAAAAAGAUCCUUUCCAUGCAAAUUGUUUACCUGUACACAUAGGAACGCUUGUGGAGCUGAAUAAAGCAAAUGAGCUUUUCUAUCUUUCUCACAAACUGGUGGAUUUAUAUCCUAGUAAUCCUGUGUCUUGGUUUGCAGUGGGAUGUUAUUAUCUCAUGGUUGGUCAUAAAAAUGAACAUGCCAGAAGAUAUCUCAGCAAAGCUACCACACUGGAGAAGACCUACGGACCUGCUUGGAUAGCCUAUGGGCAUUCGUUUGCUGUUGAGAGUGAGCAUGACCAGGCCAUGGCUGCCUACUUCACAGCAGCACAGCUAAUGAAAGGGUGUCAUCUGCCGAUGCUAUAUAUUGGAUUAGAAUAUGGUUUGACCAAUAACUCAAAACUGGCUGAAAGAUUCUUUGGUCAGGCUCUGAGCAUCGCACCAGAAGACCCUUUUGUCAUCCACGAGGUUGGUGUGGUUGCCUUUCAGAAUGGAGAAUGGAAAACAGCAGAAAAAUGGUUUCUCGAUGCUUUGGAAAAAAUUAAAGCAAUUGGAAAUGAGGUAACAGUUGACAAAUGGGAACCUUUGUUGAACAACUUGGGGCAUGUCUGCAGAAAACUUAAAAAGUAUGCUGAGGCAUUGGAUUACCACCGGCAGGCAUUGGUAUUAAUUCCUCAAAAUGCAUCUACCUAUUCUGCCAUAGGAUAUAUCCAUAGUCUGAUGGGCAACUUUGAGAAUGCUGUGGACUAUUUUCACACUGCCCUUGGUCUUAGACGAGAUGACACAUUUUCUGUUACAAUGCUUGGUCAUUGCAUCGAAAUGUACAUUGGUGAUUCUGAAGCUUAUAUUGGAGCAGAUAUUAAAGACAAAUUAAAAUGUUAUGACUUUGAUGUGCAUACAAUGAAGACACUAAAAAACAUUAUUUCACCUCCGUGGGAUUUCAGGGAAUUUGAAGUAGAAAAACAGACUGCAGAAGAAACGGGACUUGCACCACUGGAAAACUCCAGGAAAACUCCAGAUGCCAGGCCUUCCUUGGAAGAAACUUUUGAAAUUGAAAUGAAUGAAAGUGACAUGAUGUUAGAGACAUCUAUGUCAGACCACAGCACGUGACCGCAGACAGUGGUCCUGGGCCAGCCUGUGCUGGUGUAGGACCAGAGGCUGCCUUGAGAGACUGGAUAGCACACCUUGCAGCAGAUGUUCUGAGUCUCUGAAGUACAAAAUAGUUAUACCUAGUGGAAUAAAAAGGCACAUCUGAAAUCAGCCCUGGCAGACCUGACUGAAAUGGCCCAUUGGUUGGGCUCAAUUUCCUGGAUUUAUACAUUUGACUAUGAUUUAUUUUGUGAAAUAUUAACAUUUUUGUUUGUAAAGGGGUUACAUGAGACCGUUAUAAACACUUUAAUCUCUUCACUGAAAUAAGAAAAGGUAUCUUGGUAACUGCAUAAGUAGAAAACAGCCCACUCUUGUGGUCACUCUUAGCCCAUUUAUGCCAAAGAUUGACAUUUUUUGAAUUUUUGCAUGAGAUUCAUAUGUUACCUAGAAAAAUUCAAGGAAUAAGAAUUUGAAGAGAACACAUUUCAUUAUGUUCCACUGUUAAAUGCAUUGCAAAAAUGGAUCAUGAGGCAUUGAAGGGUUAAUACGGCUUAGGCUGUGUGUUUUGUUGACAGUCCUUUGUUUUAAACUCUUUAUAGUCUUAACCUCAGCAGAAACAUUGUUCUGUAUCUUCAUAGAAAAAGAAGUGUAGGCCUGGGGAUUUAGCUCAGUGGUUUUGCCGCCUGCUGCACAAGCGCAAGGACCCGAGUUUGAUCCCCGGUACCAAAACAAAAAGAAAAAGAAGUGUAAUUAUCUCAAAACAUUUAUACACAGUAUUGUUAUCAAAUAAGGUAUGAGAUAAAUUUUCCCACCAACUGAUAUGUUCCCUGGACACCAGACUUUUAAUCUUUACCUAUGUAAAAUGCCCCGUUCUGUGGCAGCUCAUCAACAGUGAAUGUUGGCCACUACCUUGGGCUUCAUGUGGUAAUGCACUAGUGUGUUUCUGAGUCUUCAUUUUUCUCUUUUAAUGGCUUUUCUAUUUCUUCUGUCAGGUAUGUGAUUAUUUUUAUGACUUCUCUUUAUAUAGCUGGGGCUAGAAAAUUUAAAUACUGAACUUGAAAUAAUGAAAAAUUAACUAAAGUGGAAGUAGUCUGCUAAUGAAGUGCUGAGCUUUUUCACAUUUAUUUGCCUGACAGAACAUUGAGCAUCUGUUACAGUUUCUUAGGUAUCUGGGUGAGUCUUACUAGUGAGACAUUAUUAAAUCGACAGUGUUUUAAGACCUGACUAAGCUGUAAUUCAGAUCAGCAAUAGUGUUAACACCAGUGCUCAAGCUUCAGAGUGUAAGAAAGUGAUGUGUCAUUGUACCACCAAAUAUUCUUUCUGUUAUACCCAGUUCUCCGGCAGCUCACAAUGAUGCAAUUUCCUUAAAAGAUUCUGGGUUCCCAGGCACUGGCCCCUCCCAAAAAACAGGUGUCCUAGCCAAUUGUAAAGUGGCUGUGCCAUCAUCUUCAAAGAAGAAACUGGGAAUCUUAUGGUCAUCAGCUCAAGUCACUGUCACCUACACUUAGAUAGGGGUUAUGGAGUAAAGCACACUCCCAGAGCCUAUCCAUGGACCGAGUAUUCAGUUAGGCAAAAGUAACAUUACUAUAUUCACCCUAUAUUUGGAGAUUUUCAAGCAGGUGUGUAUGUCCUACCUGUGGCCUGUAGGUUGGACACACCUAUGUUACAAUAAUAAUAAAAAAAUGUAGAGCCAGGAGUGAUGGUGCACACCUGUGAUCCCAGCACUCCAGAGGCUGAGGCAAGAGGAUCACCAUGAGUUCAAGGCCAGCCUGCACUCCACAGUGAGACCCUGUCUCAAAAAAAAAGGUUAGAAAUAAGGAAAGCUUUGUUAUUUAUAUACAUUAAUUAUAUAUUUUAUAUGCAUCUGAAGACAAUUCCUCUUCACUCAGUGUAAUCCAGGCAUAUCUGUCACAAGGCUACAGGUUAGACAUGUAAAGUUCUGAACAAAUACAAAACAAAACAUUUGAACAGGCUGGGUACUAUAGUAGAGGAAGCUGGAUUUUCUUUGUGUUAUAUGUUGCUUUUUCAUGUAAAAUCAUAAGCUACUUCUCCAAAUACAUAUCACAAGUUUUUAUUGAAGGAAUAAUCUGACAUAGAUGAUUUCUAAUACUGUCAUUUUGUGAAAUUUUUCAGAACUUUAUUUGCAAUAACAGGAAAUAAAAAAUUACAGGGGUCUUUAA